CACAGUUGGAGAACUGCCAAAGCAAGUUAUCCCCCUCUCCCAAUCCGAACUACUGUCCACACCAUCCUGACUGCUCGUGGACAGCCUCCUACAGGGCAGAGGAAACAUCCCAGCAGCUCGAAAGAUCCUCAUGGAGUCAAGUUUGGCUUUUAACCUACUUCUUACCAAGUCAACUCUUCUUUCUGGUUGGCGCCCCAAGGAAAACCAGAGCAAGAUCUAUAAAGCAGGAUCUGAUCAUCUGCUUGGCAAGAUGAGCAAAAGUCUGUCCUGUGGACAAACUGGUCAGCUGUUCCUCCCUGUCCAGAUGGACAUCUGCUGCUGCUGCUGCCUGAGUGAGAGGCCACAGGGUAUCCA